UUUUUUUGUUUUGUUUUGAUUUGUUUUGUUUUUUGUUUUUUGUUUUUUUUUUCUGUUUCUGGCUUACAUUGUUUUAUCCAUUGGUGUAUCUUAUUAUUUCUGAUAGUUUUCAGACCAUUUUCUUUUUCAAUUACUUACAGAAGUAAUUUUAGACCUUAGAUGGUGUUAUCUCCUCCAGAGAGGUGUUUCAUUUUAUUUUCUCCUUCUUCCAGAUACCUGAGGAUCCUAGCUAUUGGGAACCAAGGUUUUCUGAGUCACCACAAUGACCUCCCAAAGUAAAGUCAUAUCCCCAUUCCCAGGGCACAUCCUGUUGAGUUGUCAGUCCUGAGGGAAUGUUUCAUGUUUUUCCCCUUUGGAGGGUGCUGGACUCCAAUCCUUGUUUCUGUCUUUCAUCUUUUUCCCUGGAAUGGACACAUGCCCCCAGGGCAAAAACAUUUUUAAACAGUGCAACUUUUGAGGGUCUCAACCUCCUGACUCUAACUCUUGUCUCCUUCUCACACUAACCUGUCAAAAAUGUGGCUCUUCCCCAAGCACUGAACACCUCCAGAGCAGAAGAAGCUGAGGUUCAUCUCUCUGAACUGUCUUUCUCAAGCUGAUCACAACCUCAUAAUGAUCAUUAUUUUUUUCCUCAUUGUUACUUUUAAGACUCUUUUUUUCUGUCCAGAUUUUUUAGUUGUCUUCAGCGGGAGGGUUAUUACCAAAGCCAGAAGAUUCCUUUUCAUUCUGGUAACAUUGCUUUCCAAAAAGUAGAUUAGAGGAUAUUUCUCUCUAUAGUUGUAGCCCAUCUAAUUAAUGAAAAAGGAAUGACAAGUUUGAAUAUCAUUGUUUUAUAACUCCUAAUGAAGUAAUGAAUCUGAGUAUUGAAUUAAUAUCUGCUAAUAUGGCAUUAAAAAAAAUAUCUGCUAAUAUGGCAAAAAAGAGGGACAACUAGAUAUCACAAGUCCCCUAGUGAAAAAACACAAUGCCACUAUGAAGUAGCCAUCUCUCCUGAUAUCAACCCUCAAUCUAUUCAAGCCUCUAGAUCUAUCUGCCAAUCUAUGAGAAAUACUAAAGACAAAGCGACUGGUCUAAAUAUAUCAUAAAGAUGCAAUAAGAAAAAUCCAGACUGGAGACAGUCAUGAGAAACAACUUGAUUUCUUUCCCAAGUAAGUUACAGGGGAAACAAAGAGGACUGGGACCUAGAGAUUCAAAUAGAUUUAUGAGACCUAUUAAAGAAUCACAAUGCAUAGAUCUUAUUGGGAUUCUGAUAUUUUAAAAACAGUUAAAACUAUGACAUUCAUGGGAUGCCUGGGUGGCUCAGUGGUUGAGUGUCUGCCUUCAGCUCAGAGUGUGAUCCUGGGGUCCUGGGAUCAAGUCCCACAUCGGGCUCCCUGCAAGAAGCCUGCUUCUCCCUCUGCCUAUGUCUCUGCCUCUCUCUCGGUGUCUCUCAUGAAUAAAUAAAUAAAAGCUUAUUUAAAAAACUAUGAAAUUCAUGAUAUAAUUGAGAAUAUGAAUAGUGGCUUAAAAGUAACUGAUUGUAUUUUUAAGUAAAUAAUACUAUUGUGGUUAAGUUUAUCAAAAAGGAUGUCUGUGUGUGUGUAUGUGUGUGUAUGUAUACUAUAUAUAGUAUAUAUAUUAUACUAUACACACAUGCACGUAUAUGUACAUAGAUCUAUAACGAGUAUGGAUGAAAAUUAAGGUGUCUGAUAUUUGCUUAAAACAAAGGAAGGUAAGAAGUAGAUAGGGAUGUGAAGACAAAACAAAGAGUAAUAUUGUGUUGAAGUAUGGGAGGAUGGGGUGGCGGGAAUAAGAAUACAGAUAAGGAGACAAUUCUGAAGCCUCUUAUAACCAGAUGAGAGGUGAUGAUGACUCAGACUAAAAUAAUGAAGCAAAGUAGAAGAAUUUGAAACACAUUGGGAACUGGCCUUGAUGGUGAACUGAAUGUCUUGAGUCAGGAAAAGGAAAGAACCAAAGGUGACUUCUCAGUUUCCAAUAUGAAUGAGUAUGUGUGGUAUCACUCACUGGAAUAAAUGAAAAUUUGAGAGGGGGUAUCAUGAAGAGAAGAUUGGUGGGGAAUAAACUCCUGUUGGCAUUUUUUAUAUCAACUUUGAAAUUUCUAUGAGAAAUUCAUGAAUGUAUCAUGUAUCAUGUUGAUAAUUGCCAAGGAGAGAUCACCUAAUUGAGAUGAAAUUUUAUCACUGAAAAGAUGAUUUUUCAAUCUAGAGGAAUUAAUCAUCCUGGUCAGGUGGAGAAUAUAAAGGCAAACAUUUAUUGAAGCCUAACAUGUCAGGCACUCAAUAGAUCUAGAUGGAAAGACAAGUCAAUGGUAAUGCUGUGAUAAAAUAUGGGCAAAGCAGUUUUGAGGACAGGUGAGAGACAGCAUCCCUUUCUGUUCUAGCUCCCAUCCAGUCAUGUGGGAUGGACUGUGAAUAAGAGACAACAAAUGUAAACUGAAUGAUAUAUGAAAUAUAACGACAGUCUGAACUUUUCAACUUCUUCCAAAGGAAAUCUUCAUUUUUAUUGAUAGCAUCAUCUUUCAGCCUGUCUUCUCACAGACUGAAUUUAAAGGGCUUUAGGUCCUGAGUAAAAUAUCAUGCCCAGCAGUGUGGAUGUCCUCAGUAUCGGAGCAGACAGAGCCUGAAGCUGCUGGUCAGAGCAGCCAUGAGCAAACGAGGCUCCAGUCUUCCUUGGUAGAGGGCACCAGACCAGCCAAAGAGGCUGAGGGCAGAAGCCCAGCCCAGAGGACACUCUUGCUGGCUCAAAGGCCUGAUUAUGCAACUUCUGGUGCCCUUCAAGUUUUCUCCCACCCUGAAUGCACAGGCUGUGAAUGAGUGCUAGCUGACAGGCACGGCUGAUUCCAAUCUCUGACUUGUCAUGUCCUAAUGUUUUAUGAUGUGUUGAGAAGACCCUUGGCAAAAAGCCUCUGUUUAAAUGCCUUUUAUUAUUUUCUUGUUUGUGAUGUAUCAGGCCAGAGGAUGUGUGUAACCUGAUCAACCUAGUAAAAAUUUUAAUCUCUUCCAUUUUUAUGGCCUCCCAGGAAAAAUUCCAUUUACGGGGAAAGUAAUGACUUUCAGAACAAGUUCUCAAACAUCCUAUCAGCAUGUUACCAAAAAUGGGGCCCAGCACAGCCAGGGGCUUCAACUCCUCUAAAAUUUUCCUAAUAGUUUUUGUUUGGAAAGUACUGUGUUGAAGCAUUUGGGAAGCAGAGGCUUGGGUGGAGGGGGCCCUGCAAGUGGGUGUGUCAGUAUGUGAGAGGGAUAGAGGAAAAGACUAGUGAAUUAAGGGCAUUCCAACAUGCUGUCAGGAUGCCAUUUUCCAGGGAUGUUAGCCCACUGAAACUAAAGGACUUGCUUGCUAACAGAUUCUCAAAGAGCAAUCACAGCUAGAGUCUCAAUCUCCUUUGGUUCUCACAAUAAACCUGUAAAGCAAGUAUACCACCCAUUACUCCCACUAAGAUAAGGGAACUAAAGCUAGGGAAAGCUACAUGAUUUGCUCAGAGCCAUACAGCUUAGUGGGUAGCAGCUUCAACUAGUUGCUUCUGGCCUCUGUAUUUACUUUGGUUCAUGCCCUGUGCAUGGGCCAGACUACCUUCUGCAUAGAGGUUUGCUCCCAGAUAUAAACAUCUCCCACCUCUAUUAAAGAGCCAGAGGGGCACCUGGUUGGCUCAGUGGUUGAGCAUCUGCCUUUGGCUCAGGUCAUGAGCACGGGGUCCUUGGAUCAAGUCCCACAUCAGGCUCCCCACAGAGAGCCUGCUUCUCCCUCUGCCUAUGUCUCUGCCUCUCUCUCUGUGUGUCUCCCAUGAAUAAGUGAAUGAAUGAAUGAAUGAAUGAAUAAAUAAAUAAAUAAAUAAAUAAAUCUUUUUUUUUAAAAAGAGCCAGAAAGGAAAUUUGAGAGUAUAUGCACAAGAGUUACAACAUCCUUCUGCAUAUAGCAUCUUCAUUCUGGUGGUUCUUACCUGGUUUCCACUUCAAUUCCAUGGUAGUCAAUGUACAUCUGAGAUCACUUCAUCUAGAACUCUAGUCCUUCCAAGGAACACCCAUCGGUAACUCCAGUCCUUUCUCACUAACUUAAAAAGAAUCAUAGUAGAAUCCAGGUAAGAGUCACAUUAAAGGUGAUAAUAGAAUCUGCUCUAAUUUAUUUUCAUGUAAGUCAUUCACAAACAUUGCAUUAUUAGUAAUAACAUAUUAUCAGUACAAAU
rnacentral:lncRNA from 1 species